UACGUAGGUGGCAAGCGUUGUCCGGAUUUACUGGGCGUAAAGAGCGCGCAGGCGGCUGGGCAAGUCCGAUGUGAAAGCUUCCGGCUAACUGGAAAAUUGCAUCGGAAACUGCUCGGCUUGAAGGUGGGAGAGGGUAGCGGAAUUCCCGGUGUAGUGGUGAAAUGCGUAGAUAUCGGGAGGAACACCAGUGGCGAAGGCGGCUACCUGGCCCACUCUUGACGCUGAGGCGCGAAAGCUAGGGGAGCAACGGGG
rnacentral:rRNA from 1 species